rnacentral:rRNA from 1 species
GACGAACGCUGGCGGCGUGCUUAACACAUGCAAGUCGAACGAAGUGGCGAACGGGUGAGUACUACGUGGGUAACCUGCCCUCCUUUUUGGGAUAAGCCUUGGAAACGGGGUCUAAUACCGAAUAAAGGGGGAUGGGCUCGCGGCCUAUCAGCUUGUUGGUGGGGUGAUGGCCUAACAAGGCGGUGACGGGUAGCCGGCCUGAGAGGGUGCCCGGCCACAUUGGGACUGAGAUACGGCCCAGACUCCUACGGGAGGCAGCGGUGGUUGGUAUUGCACAAUGGGCGAAAGCCUGAUACAGCGUAGCCGCCUGGGGGAUGAAGGCUUUGGGAUUGUAAACCUCUUUCGUGAUCGAGCGGGUAGGUGGAAAAGAAGCGCCGACUGACUACGUGCCAGCAGCCGCGGUAAUAC